UGCCAGUCAUCUGAAACUACAUCUUCACCCGGAGCACCUCUACCAUGGUAAAAAGCAGAUGGGACUCCAUCACAUACAGCUGAUUCCUGUUGGAAGGCUGCUUUGGAUCUGCUGAAACUAAGAUUUUGGGGGGACAUUCUUUCUGUGAAAUCAAGCUGCA